GAUAAUUACCUGAGUGGACCUGUAACCAGUGGCCAGCAUUCACAGGUAAUAAGCUGGGACUUAAGUGAAAAUGCUCUCCAGAUGAUACCAAGAAGAGCAUUUAGAGGAGCCACAGACAUCAAGAACUUACAGCUGGAUAAGAACCACAUCAGCUGCUUUGAGGAUGGAGCGAUUCGGGCCAUGGGAGUCCUGGAGGUCCUGUAUGUAUUGACUGUAUGUGAUACUUGCAAAGUCCGUUUUCAGCAGUUUUCUGCUUUUGUUUUCAUAGCCGGCUGCACUCUAACAGUCUGCGGUGUGACUGUCAUUUGUCAUGGCUGUCUCAGUGGCUCAGACAGAGAGCGACGCUGGGACUUUACACUCUUUACACUUACACCAACCCACACGGCCUCAACUUCACA